rnacentral:rRNA from 1 species
GACGAACGCUGGCGGCGUGCCUAAUACAUGCAAGUCGAGCGCACUCUCGUUUAGAUUGAAGGAGUUUGCUCCUGAUUGAUAAACAUUUGAGUGAGUGGCGGACGGGUGAGUAACACGUGGGUAACCUGCCCUAAAGUGGGGGAUAACAUUUGGAAACAGAUGCUAAUACCGCAUAAAACCUAACACCGCAUGGUGUAGGGUUGAAAGAUGGUUUCGGCUAUCACUUUAGGAUGGACCCGCGGUGCAUUAGUUAGUUGGUGAGGUAAAGGCUCACCAAGACCGUGAUGCAUAGCCGACCUGAGAGGGUAAUCGGCCACACUGGGACUGAGACACGGCCCAGACUCCUACGGGAGGCAGCAGUAGGGAAUCUUCCACAAUGGACGAAAGUCUGAUGGAGCAACGCCGCGUGAGUGAAGAAGGUUUUCGGAUCGUAAAACUCUGUUGUUGGAGAAGAAUGUAUCUGAUAGUAACUGAUCAGGUAGUGACGGUAUCCAACCAGAAAGCCACGGCUAACUACGUG